CUCAGCCACCAAGCCAGUACUCAGCCACCAAGGAAUCAAAAGGCCAUACGUGACUUCACCUGAUUUCCCCAUAUCUCGAAUUUUCCUAUGGUUUUCUACUUCAAAUGCUGUUCAUAACGAUACUAUUACUAUGAUCAGUGGCAUUAAGAAUGUUAUUAUAUUGUUGAAAUAUUAAUAGCGAUUUCCUGCUUCCUUCAAAAUCCUCGUCCCUGUGAGAACCACACAACAACACACACUUUCUUCUUUGUCUCGUUCGCCUUCCGUUUCGCAGUAUUUCUGUUAUCUUGCAAUGUUGUGAAGAAUGCAAGCAGCCCUGAUGAGCUUCCCGUUUGUUUCAACAUGCCUGUCCAGGAGCUGCAUUCGCCGGAAUCGCGACUUGAAAACUGUCAUGGCAUUGGCCGACAAUUUCUGAGCUUCGUUGUGAUUCUCAUUGAACAGCGCUUCCUGAGUGUCAGAAAAAUAAAAUGUAUGUACUCAUAUCUA